AGUGAACGCUGGCGGUAGACCUAACACAUGCAAGUCGAACGGCAGCACAGUAAGAGCUUGCUCUUACGGGUGGCGAGUGGCGGACGGGUGAGGAAUACAUCGGAAUCUACUUUUUCGUGGGGGAUAACGUAGGGAAACUUACGCUAAUACCGCAUACGACCUACGGGUGAAAGCAGGGGAUCUUCGGACCUUGCGCGAUUGAAUGAGCCGAUGUCGGAUUAGCUAGUUGGCGGGGUAAAGGCCCACCAAGGCGACGAUCCGUAGCUGGUCUGAGAGGAUGAGCAGCCACACUGGAACUGAGACACGGGCCAGACUCCUACGGGAGGCAGCAGUGGGGAAUAUUGGACAAUGGGCGCAAGCCUGAUCCAGCCAUACCGCGUGGGUGAAGAAGGCCUUCGGGUUGUAAAGCCCUUUUGUUGGGAAAGAAAAGCAGCAGGUUAAUACCCCGCUGUUCUGACGGUACCCAAAGAAUAAGCACCGGCUAACUUCGUG
rnacentral:rRNA from 1 species